CGCACCCAUUGAUGAAACCCUCUUUCCCAAUCUAACUUUACCCACCUAAAUUUUGAGGUAUGAGAAAUGGGAAGAAGGGUAUUUUGAAAUACCAUAUUAUUGCCCUAACGAAAUCGGUAUCAUCCAACACCGAUAGACAAAUCGUUAUGAUCCACCGCCGAUAACUUUCUAUGUAUCGAAUUUAUUGAAGAUUUGGACUGAAUAAAAAUCAUGGGCACAUAAGUAAUCCAAUCGGUUAUUGAAAUGAGGAGCGAAUCAAGUUCUGAACGUCAUAAAGAGAAUUAUAAUUGAACGUAAAAUUAGGUAAUUGUUCUUCCUUUUUUUUUUUGACAGAAAAUAGAUUAAAAUCAAAAGAAAGUUACUUGUUUAUUUUGCUGGAAAAUGGAUGGAGAAGGAUGGUACACGAGUAGAAGACAUAUAGAAAGCAAAGGAAAAAAACGUCGAUGUGUUUGGAAUAAAUUUUUGGCUAUUUGGAAGAUUUUUCAAGAAGCAAAUAUUCAAAAUUUGAAAUUUGCUUAAAAAAGUUGUACAAAUUAAAAAAAAAAAUGUUAAAGCAAAAACUUAUCGUUGUAAACUGAAGUAAUAACAUUUGUAGCGCUUGAAAUUUGUUGGAUUGAUGUAGUACACAAAUUAAUGUCAUUUAUAUUAUCUAAAUAAAAAUUAUUUAAUUUUCUACUA